CCUGGGGGUGUUGGAUGAGCUUCAGGAGGCCUGUGAACUUUUUCAAGUUGUACAUAAUAUUUUGUGUGUAAGUUUGUUAUUGGGGAGGUGGUAGAGAAAGUUCAUAGCUCAUAGAUUCUCAAGGGUCUUGGGUUCCAAAAACCUUAAUACCUCCAGACUAGUAGAAAGACAACAAGGUUUGGAGCCACACAGGAAUUUUUAUCUUGGCUGUGCUAUGAUUAUGAGCAGGUUAUCUAGGGAAAUUGUGGAUAUAAUACCUACCUGAUUGACCAAGAUAAAGAUAAUAUGUAUGUAAAGCUACUAGCAUACUAUGUAGAGACUACUCAAUAGUAAUUCAAGAUGUCAUAUUAUUCUAAUGGAAGUGUGUUUAAGAUUUAAACCUACGAGGCAGGCAAGCCUAAAUCUGCUUGUUUGUUAGGUAGACUAGCAUAAAAGGCAUUUCAGAGAUAGAAAACUAACAGCGCUUGCAGACACACAGAUAAGAACUGUGGGUUUGAGAUGAGAGGAACAGAGUGGCUGGCAAAGGAUAAAAUAAGAAAAGCCUGUAUACUGAAAUAAUAGGAGGGUAUUCCCACAGCGAGAACAACUUAAAUGCGGAGUAUGAAAUGAAUAUGAAGUUGGCCUUUGCAUUCUUGAAUGUUUUGGUGAGGAGUAUUUUGAUGUCUUAUUAUUAUGGCAUAGUUGUUUACCCUUACAAUGUAUUAUUUGGUUAGUAUGAAAAAUCUUUUUAAAACUGAGUUUCAACCACAUGGUCAGUAUUCUCAAAUCUGGUAAUUUUACUUUAUCCCAGAUAGAUAAAAUAGUACCCUGUUUAUAUGAUUCUUAGAUGUUUAGAUCAGUAUUUUUCGCUGGCUUCUGUUAAAAGUGCCCUGUAAAAAAAUUACACUAAAAAGUCUGUAGGACCUAGGCAUGUCAUUUAUAGUGGCUGGCCUCUUGCUUAGUUUGGAUUUUUUUUUUAACAAAUUUGAGUUUUGCAUAAGAUAACUCUCGAGUUUUUGAGACUACAUAUUUGGGACCAGAACCAAAGAAAGAAAGGAAAAUAGUUCUAGAUUCCAUAAUACAAAACAGUAAAGAAUAGCUUUUCUGGAUGCCUUCUUCCCACAUUAUACACAACGGGUUUACUCAUAAGUUAUAGACAUUAAACCUGUUUAGAAAUUUAGAAAUUAAAGAACUUCAUACAGAUUUUGCCAUUAGAAGUUGGCAGAGCUGAGUUUGUCCCCAGUUAUCAAAGCAGAUGCUUUUUCUAUGACAUGAUGUUGCUUUGGCCAACAAUUGCAUUCUUACUAUUUACGGGAAAAGUCAAUAAAAAAAAAGCGGGGCAUGAGAAAUACAGAAAAAUUCUUUGUUGGGGCGCCUAGGCAGUUCAAUUGGUUGAGCGUCCAACUUUGGCUCAGGUCAUGACCUUGCAGUUCAUGAGUUUGGAUCCCAAUUGACGUUUGGGCUUGCUGCUGUCAGCUCAGAGCCUGCUUUGGAUCCUCUGUCCUUCUCUUUCUGUCUCUCCCCCACUUUCGGGUACGCGCAUGCACGCGCUCUCUCUCUCUCUCUCUCUCUCUCUCUCUCUCUCUGUCUCUCUCUCAAAAAAUAAAUAAACAUUAAAAAAAAUAAUUAAAAAAAAUUCUUUGUUGGUGUGCCUGAGUGACUCAGUCGGUUAAGCGUCCGACUUUGGCUCAGGUCAUGGUCAUGCUGUUCGUGAGUCCGAACCCCAGGUCUGGCUCCUUGCUGACAGCUCAGACUGGAGCCUGCUUCAGUGUGUCUCCCUCUCUCCCUGCCCCUUCCCUGCUCACGGUCUGUCUGUCUCUCUCAAAGAUAAAUAAACAUUAAAAAAAAAAAAAUUCUUUGCCGGUAUAGAUUUUUAUUUGCAGCCUACUUCCCAACUAGCUUAAGUGAAAAAAAAAAAAAAGAUUAUUGCAACAGAAUACUGCCGUUGAGCUACUUGAAGCACAGGAACCAAGGAAUGGAGAGCGAUCUAUAAAGCUAGGCACUUCUCUUCUUCCUUUUCUCUUCAUAGCCCCUCUAUGAUUUGUUAGUUUCUCUGUCUCUAGAUGACUGGAUACUUGGCUUUGCUUCUUUGCACCUGCUUUACUGUUCUCUUUGUGCAGUUUGGCUUUCACUGUUUGGGACUGCAUAUUCUGAAUAAAGACAAUCCUUUUGGUGUUUAAUCUAUCUCAUUCACUUUAUUUCAGUUUGGGGUAAGAGAUCAGAAUGACUAUAAUUGCUAUAUCUCCUUUUUACAUUACUUAAAGAGUCAUUCAGCUUGCCAGUGACAUGAGUAUUGUGUGAGUUGAACAAGGUGUGGAGCUUGUUCAUACAUAUGGAAGGGAAAGGACUUUUCCUAUGGAAAGAGAGUGAUAGUUCACUAACAAGGCAGGUAGUGCAAAGAGUAGUAAAAAAAUCCUUGAAGGAAAACUGAAAAAAAAAAUUAACUAUUAAGGUUUCAGCCCCAAAUAAACCCUACCCACUUUGCUUCAGAGAAGGGAAAAAGAAAGAUAAAGAGUUGUUAUGUCUUGAGGGGCACUGGGUGGCUCAAUUGGUUAAACGUCCAACUUAUAGUUUCAACUCAGGUUAUGAUCUCCUGGUCCGUGAGUUUGAGCCCCAUGUUGGGCUCUGUUCUGACAGCAUGGAGCCUGCUUGAGAUUCUCUCCCUCUCUCUGCUUAUCCCUCACACGCACUCUCUCUUAAAUAAACUUAAAAAAAAAAGUCAUUAUGACUUGAGAUAACAUUCUUUUGGCUCUGGUAGAGUGUUAUUUUGCAUAUAACAAUACAUAUUAAAAGGCAAAUUUUUGUGUGUGUGAAAACUAUAAAAUUAAAGUAGUCUGUAUGCUGCAUGUUUAUGGUAUCUAAAAUUUAAAUUGUAAUUUCUCAGAGUUCAAAUAUUAGAACCAGAACAUUACCUUUUUGCAAGCAAAUAUUAUUCUAAAGAUCUAUUUUAUUGAAGCAUUGUGUCUGGUCAUUCUUUGUUCACUCCCUGAAUAUAUAUCUGAAAUAUAGCAUUAUCUGAAAGACUAAUAUAUUUUCUUCACAACAGAUUUCGCAUCAAUAAAAUAAAUCUAUAGUACCUUUAGUCCUGAGUCAUCUAAAAAUUAAGUACUGUGAUGUAUUGCCUGGUUGUCACUCUUCCUGUCCUCUGUAUCUGUCUGCUUUUGCGCCUCUGCUACCUUUUGUCUAGUUUUCUUUAUCUACUUUGUCCAUUGACCUGUUUGUGUUUAAGAUUUGUUAAUGUGUGUUGGAAAUGGGUGUUAGAAAUAGAUUCGGAUGUACUGUGUAAUUGAGAAAUUUCCUGUAAUUUAUGCCCAGUGUCUGUAAUUCUUUACCUUUUUUAAAAAGUAAGCUCUACUCUCAACAUGGGGCUUGAACUCACAACCCCAAGAUCAAGAGUCACAUGCUCUACUGACUGAGCCACUGAGGCACCGCUGUAAUUCUUUUCUUUUAAUACUGUAAAUAGAUUAUACAUAAAUGCCAAGGAAGAACAUAGAGUAGAUGGAUAUCAGUAAUAGGAUUCUCAACUGAAAUAACUGGGUAUGUCCAAGUAUUUAUCGUUAAACCUAUUCACUGGCAUUAUUAUAUGUUUAAAAUUUUUUUCUUAUUUAAUUUAUAAUAUGGAUAGCAGAAGAUUAUUAAAGUAAGAGAAAUAUGGUUUUAAUGCUUAAUAUAUGCUUUGGUCUUUUAUGGAAAAGUAAAGAGGAUGGGUACCUGGGUGCCUCAGCUGGUUGGGCCUCCAACUUCAGCUCAGGUCAUGAUCUCAUAGUUGGUGAGUUCGAGGCCACCUUGGUUCUAUGCUGACAACCCAGAGUCUAGACCCUGCUUCGGAUUCUGUGUCUCCCUCUCUAUCUGCCCCUUCCCUGCUUGUACUUUCUCUCAAAUAUAAAUAAAUAAACUUUAAAAAAAAGUUUAAUAAUUCAAAAACUUGAAACAAAAAUUUUUAUUUGUGAAAAUCAACAUUCAUAGGAACUAUUAUUUCCUUUCUUGAUUGAGUAGUCAGGCAGGCAUUGGCUAGGUUCACUUCCUCAGCCUCUUAUUUGUUCCUUUAACCCCCAUUGUAAUUUGAUUUCAAGGUCUACCAUUUUGCUGAAAUUGCAUUUACUAUGGUUGCCCCAGAUCUUCUGGACACAUCUAGUACAUCCUUUAUAGUAAUGUGUAUCUUUGUUGAUGCCUCUUUAGCAUUCAGCACUGUUGACUGUCUUUUUUUUCUUUUCUUUCCUUUUUCUUUUCUUUAAUUUUCUUCUCUUUUCUUUUCUUUAACUUCCUUUCCUUUCCUUUCCUUUCCUUUCCUUUCCUUUCCUUUCCUUUCCUUUCCUAAGUCCUUGCCUUGAUGUUGAAGCAUCAUUUAUACCUACCUCUUUAGUCUCUGUCUCUAAUAGUGGCUCAGAUGCAACAUACUUUUCUGUUUUUUACCCUGGUAUGUCCUAAGGGAAAUAUAAUGGAAUACUUGAAUAUUUAGAAAUCUUACUAAUCUUGUAAAACUGACUAUAGUGACAUGGAUUAUUCUAAUGUUGGUAAAGAGUCUCAAAGAAUAAUAAAAUACUAAUAUUUUCUCAUACUCUACAAUCUUUUUUUUAAUCUUCUUAAAAAAAGUUUAUUUAUUUUGAAAGAGAGUGUGCAUGACUGCAAGGAGGCAGGGGAGGGGCAGAGAGAGAGAAUCCCAAGCAGGCUCUGCACUGUCAGCAUGGAGCCUGAUGUGGGGCUUGAACUUAGAAAUCAUGAGGUCAUGACCUGAGCCAAAAUCAAGAGUCAGAUGCUUAACCAAAUGAGCCACCCAGAUACCCCCAUACUCUACAUUCUUGUGAUGACUAGCAAAUUAUUUUUAUUUUUGGAAAAUGCAACUUAAUCUGAACUAGAAGUAUAGGACGAAUAUUUAACCAAUACAUUUAAUUUUCUGUUACUACUUUAUUAUAUGUCAGUUUUUAUAUUGGUUGCAAACCAUAUAUUGUUUAUGCCAUAUCUAAUACUAUGCCAUAUCUAAGUAUAUUCCAGAAUUAUCAUAUCACUUAUUUUUCUUGUUAAAGAAGGGUUAGAAAAUUUUAUUAAAAAAAGAAAGAAAAUUUUAUUUUAAAAUAGACUGUAGAUUGAAUAUAUAUAUAAAUUGUCACUCUUUUAUCUUUAAGAUAUGUUGUAACUAGAAGAGGGAAGAAAAGUAAUCUUUCAUACUAGUGGGAGGGAAUUUAAUCAUAGGAGGUUAAGGAAGGAAUGAGUAGAUGUCAAGACAGAAAGGACCAGACAAAAGUAGCAUAUCUUUAUGAUAUAUUUGAUUUUAGCAAUUUGAGUGCCUGGUGUUGUUAUAUUGGGUAUUCCAGCAGUGGUAGAUCACAAGUUUUAUCUGGAUUAAACUUAGCCAUUUUUACUGUAUGUAAUUUUGAGUACAUUACUUAAACUACUCUGAAUCUGAGUUUCCUUAUCCACAAAACAGGAGUAUUUUGCAGUGUGAGAAUUAGUUGAAAUGUGAAUAAUAUGUGUUAGAUGUUAUUCUAAAUAAAUGAUAGUUAGGAAUGAAAAGUGAUAAAUGGCAUUGAGAAGUAAAAUAAAUGUGAAAGAAAAAGGCAACCCCUUGCUCUUUUUCUCUUUUGGACUCUCUUGGAUGAUAGAGAAAAAAAUAAUGUGUAUAAUGUAAUUAUCUGAAGAUAUCAUUGAUAGUAACCGGAGUUUUGAUUUUAUCCUCUAAGCCAGUGAUGUCUAAACUUUUUAUUUUUAUUUAUUUAUGUAUGUAUGUAUGUAUGUAUGUAUUUAUUUAUUUAUGGUGCAAAAAGGUUAUUUUAUUAAAGCAUGGGGACAGGGCCCAUGGGCAGAAAGAGCUGCCUAAACUUGAGUUUUAAAAUUUUUAGGUGUGCACCUUCUUGAUAUAGUUUCAUUAACUUAUAAUUUUAUACAUUACUUAUACAACUGUGUAAAAUUUAUUAUUGUAAAAUACAUAUUAAAAAUUAGGAGGAGAUGAAGCCUAAACAAAUAAUAUACGUAAAUUUAAAAAAUAUUUACUAAUGACAAAGUAUAAUUUUUAGUAAAAUUAUAAUACUUUGUAAAAAUCUUGAUUUUAACACUUUGUGAUAUAGUGAUUUGAAAGACUAGCUCUGAAUAUAAUGGCUUCCCUGGAUUGAAAAGAUACCUGGGUGCCUGGGUGGCUUAGUCGGUUAAGCAUACUACUUUUGGUUUCAGCUCAGGUCAUGAUCUCAUGGUUUCAUGAGUUCAAGCCCCAUAUGAGGCUCUGCUCUGUCAACUGGGAGCCUGCUUGAAAUUCUCUCUCUCCCUCUCUGCCCUUCCACCACUUGUACUGUCUCUGUCUCUUUCAAAAUAAAUAAAUAAACUUAAAAAAAAAAAAAAAGAUACCUGACAAGGAUACAUAGAUCCAAAUGGUUUGUUAAAUCAUCAUGCUUAUUAUUUUUUUUUAUUUUUAAUGUUUAUUUAUUUUGGGGGGGGGGGAGCAUUGGCAGGGGAAGGGCAGAGAGAGAAUCUCAAGCAGCCUCCAUGUUGUUAACACAGGCCUGAUGUAGGGCUCGAACCCACAAACCAUGAGAUCAUGACCUAAGCCAAAAUCAAGAGUCAGAUGCUCACCCAACUGAGCCACCCAGGCGUCCCUCAUCAUGCUUAUUUUUAUUUAUUCAUUUAAUAAUUAUUGAAUGCCUACUGUUACCAGGUAUUAUCCUAGACCCUGAAGACUACAACUCCUCAUUGAACAUACAUUCUAUUGGUAAGAGAAAAUAACAUCGUACACAAGUAAAUAUAACUAGGUCAGAUAUUAAGUGCUACAGAGGCCAGUAAACAGUAAGGAGGAAAAAAAGUAGAGUAUAUCAGUUAUCUGUUACCACAAUAAUGUUGUAUAUCAACCACAAAACCUUAGUGGCAUAUAAUAAUAUUCUUGGGGCACCUGGGUGGCUCAGUUGGCUGAGCAUCUGACUGUUGAUUUUGGCUCAGGUCAUGAUCCCAGGGUCCUGGGAUAGAGUCCUGCAUUGGGCUCCAUGCUGAGCAUGGAGCCUGCCUAAGACUCCCUCACUCCCCUCCCUGCUCUUCCCUCCUACUUGUGUGCGUGCUCGCGCACACACACACACUCUCUCUCAAAAAAAAAAAUACGUGUAUAUAUGUGUGUGUGUGUAUAUAUACGUACAUAUAUAUACAUAUAUAUGUACGUAUAUAUACAUAUUUUACAUGCCAUUGGUUUGUCAGCUAAGCAAUUUUGCUGCUCUUGUCUGAGUUCAUUCGUAUUUCUGAGGGUUGGUUGGCUGUCAGCACAUCUAGCCUGGCUGUGGCUGGGAUGACUAGGAUUGCUUGGCACUGUACUAUAUGUUUCUUAUUCCCCAGUAGGCUAUCGGCUGUGGCACGUGGCUGUUGCAGAGGUGCAGCUGAGGGGGAAAGUACGCAAGUUAGAACUGGCACACUGUAACUUCCAUCACAUUCUGUUGACCAAAGCCAGUUACAAUACCAUUUCCACCUCAGAGGGUGGGGGAAUAGAUUCUAUCUUGUAGGUCAAAAGAACUGCAAAGUCAAAUGUGGGUUUAAAAUAUGGAAGGAUGAAAAAUAGGCUUUGAAUAGGAUCAAUCUACCAUUAUCACAGGUAUAGGAGAUACUAUUAAAAAAGGUGGUGAAGACAUUGAACCAAAACUUGAAAUGAGGUUAUCUGCGAGGAGAACAUUCCAGGUAGAGCAUUAAAGGUCCCAUGGACCUAAGUUAAGAGUGUUGAAGGAAUUCUGUGUUUGAGCAGAAUAGGUGACAGAGAAGUAGAUUUGUGGUAGGGUUGGAAGUUACAGCUGACUAGGUUCUUGUAGGUCAUUGUAAGAAUGGCUUUUACUCAGGGCACCUGGGUGGCUCAGUUGAUUAAGCAUACGACUCUUGGUUUCAUCUCAGGUCAUGAUCUCAUAGUUGGUGAGUUUGAGCCCUGCAUCAGACUCUGUGCUGACAGAUUAUCUCCUUCACUCUCUGCCCCUUUCCUGCUUGCACUUUCUUUCUCUCUCUCUCAAAAUAAAUAAAUAAACAUAAAAAAAAAAAGAAGAAGAAUGGCUUUUACUCUAAGUAAGAUGAGAACCUUACUCUUGGGUUUUACUCUUAGGUGUUAUGUUAACUUUAACAGGAUCAUGUGGCUGCUGUAUGGAGAAUAAAAUGUAGAAGGGUAAGGACAGAAGGAGAGACCACUUAAAGCUUUCCACUAGUUGAAGCAGAAGGGCCUGAAGACAAUGAAAAGGGAUAAAUUCAGAAGGCAUUCUGAGGUUGCAUUCACAAGACUUGGUCAUAUUGGAAGCAAAUGGUCUUCCAUUGCAACCAGAGCUGGCUUAAAGCCCAGAGAUUAUGGAAUCCAGAAAAUGAUUUUAAAGCCCUACAAAUGUUGAGGUGGUGCCAGUUUGUGCUUAAUGAACUCUCAUACUUCUCACUACAACCAAAUGAGCAAGAUAUUAUGUCCAUUUUGUAGACGAGGAAACAGAUGGCCAACGUUGUCCUUCAGCAUGGUAAGAGCAGUGGGAGAAGUAGACCUCAAAUAGUAGGUAAUGCCAUGCAGAAGUUUCCUCUUUUAAGGUGCAUCAGUGUAUAUGAUAUGGCAGAAAACUGUUGAUGAAAUAAACAGGGUUUGACAAAGUAAAGGUUUUCUCCUUGUUUGCUCCCAUAGCACUUCGCAUCUAUCUCGAUUAUAAUUCACCAUAUGAUAUUGCAGUUAUAUAUUUAUUUUCUGUUUCUAUUACUAGGUUGUAAGGACUUCGGUGACCAGAGAUCCAGAAUCAGAGAUUCUGAGAUCCAGUGGCCUGAGUCUGUCUUGUCUUUAUACUUUGGUACCUAGCCAAUGGCUGUAUGAUAGGUGCUUGGUAAAUCUUGUUAGAUAAAUUAGUCAUUACAAUAUACUUACAAAGUAUGUUUAUCAGAUAACACAAAUAAUGAUGUGUGUGUGUGUGUGUAUAUAUAUAUAUAUAUGUAUAUAUAUAUAUAUAUAUAUAUAUAUAUAUAUAUAAAAUGCUAUAUAUCUUGUUUAUAUGAUAAACUCUGCAGUAAAUGUCACUAGGUCCUUUACAUUGGAUCCUCAGACUAAUCCAAGUCCUAUUUUUACAGAUGAGGAAUCUGAACUUGCCCAAGGUCACAUGGGUAGUGAGUGGAAGCACUAUUCCAACUAUAAAACUUAUGCUAUUCACUAUUAUGUUUUAUUGCCUCUUUCAGUGUAGUCAUGGAUGGCACCAGCAGCAUGAUCAUCCAUCCCUAAUUUGAGAAAGUGACUGGCAGAACUUUUGAAAUAAGUGUUUGCCUGACACCUAGAAUUUGUUAACAUAUCUGCUGGCUGUCAACUAUUUGUUGACAUUCUUCACCUUAAAUACACUUGAGUGUGGAUUAAACAUGUUAGUGUCCCAUGUCUCUUACCAUGGAAUUAUUUUUUAAGUUUAUUAAUUUAUUUUGAGAGAGGGAGAGAGAGAAUCCCAAGUAGGUUCUGUACCACCAGCGCCAAGCCUGACAUGGGGCUUGAUAUGUGAACCAUGAGAUCAUGACCUGAGCUAAAAUCAAGAGCCAGAUGCUUAACUGAUUGAUCCACCUAGGUGUGCCACAUGUGAACCAUUUUUAAAAAUUUUUAAUUAAUUUUUUUAAUUUACAUCCAAGUUAGCAUAUAGUGCACCACUGAUUUCAGGAAUGGAUUCCUUAAUGCCCCUUACCCAUUUAGCCCACUCCCCUUCUCACAACCCCUACAAUAACCCUCUGUUUGUUCUCCAUAUUUAAGAGUCUCGUACGUUUUGUCCUCCUCCCAGUCUUUAUAUUAUUUUUGCUUCCCUUCCCUUAUGUUCAUCUGUUUUGUAUCUUAAAGUCCUCAUAUGAGUGAAGUCCUAUGAUAUUUGUCUUUCUCUGACUAAUUUCGCUUAGCAUAAUAACCUCCAGUUCCAUCCACAUAGUUGCAAAUAUGUAUAUAUAUAUACCACAUCUUUAUCCAUUCAUCCAUCAAUGGAUAUACAUGUGAACCAUUUUUAAUCACACAUGAGAGGUGACUUCAUCUCUGCAAACUUAUCAAUCAAAGCAUUUCUGUUCAUAUGCCUUUAGUACUCUACUAUUUAGUGUAUAUUUUGAUAAAUAAUAUUUAAUCUACUGAUAAUAUGAUCGUAUGUUUUUAAAGUCUCUUAUCAAUGUAACAACUUCGCUGAAAGAUAAAAUUGUAUUGAAAGUAGAGUGUAGCAUUAAUUUAGUAUGUAAAAGUAAGGCAAAUAGGCUCAUUUUCAGUAGAGAUGGGGAAAUAAUGAAGUACACAAAUAACUAAUGCAAAACUGAGGACAAUACUACAGGACAAAGUGCCAGGAGGAUUCCCUUUUUUUUGCAGCUUUGUUUUACUGUGGUAAAAUGUACACCAUUUUAAACACUUGUAAAAGUAUACAAUUCAGUGGCAUUAAGUACAUUGACAUUUUUGUACAGUGAGGAUUCCUAAAAGAGAAAAGUCAUAUACUGUUAGGACAGUCAUGGAAUGCUUUAUAAGAAAGGAUUUUUAAAAUGAAUCCAUAAGGAUAGGUGAAUUGUGGUGGAGAGACUUUACAAGUACAGGGAACUCUGUGUAAACAAAUGAGAGUGGGAAUAAUAAAUGGACUUUAGGAAACAGCAAUUAAUAGCAGCAUUAACUAAAUAAGAGCAGUAAAAAAAAAUAGCACUUACAGAAAUAGCUAAUAUAGUAGAGUGGUUGGUGAAUUUAUAAGUAUUUUCUUUAAAUUUUUUAAAAAUGUUUAUUUAUUUUUGAGAGACAGCGUGGGCGGGGGAGGGGCAGAGAGAGAGGGAGACACAGAAUCUGAAGCAGGCUCCAGGCUCUGAGCUCUCAGCACAGAGUCUGAUACGGGGCUUGAACUCACAAGCAGUGAGAUCAUGACCUGAACCAAAGUCGGAUGCUCAACUGACUGAGCCACUCAGGUGCCCCUAUAAGUAUUUUCUAAGACAACAAACAAGGAAUAGGUUAAAAUACUGUGAAUUUUAAGAAUAAAUGUUAGGUCAGUUUUCCACAGAUAAAAGUAGAUUUGGUCUGUGUUCAUGAAAUGUUCUGGUCAGCAAAAGAUUUAUAAUUAAAGCAAUCAAUGUUAUUUGGUUAUAGGGGAUAUGAUCUAAAAUAAUUUAACCCCAGAGAUUGCCAGUGUACCCACACUACACAUUGAAUAUUAAGUGUUGUAUGUCCCAAAGAAGUCAAGCUGAUGGUGUAGUAUUGAGUCACACUUAUGUCCUCAUCCUAUUAGAAAUUAGCUGGAUACCUAAGAAUUGUUACCUCACAGAGUAAUGCAGAAACAUACCGCUUUGCCUAAGACUACUUUUUUUAGUAUAAAAAAUAGCUGAAUCAUCAGAUUUCUUCAUUUUAUUUUAUUUUUUUUAUUUUCUUCAAUUUAUUUUAAAAUAAGCAAGUUCAAAAAACUACCUUAGUUGGAUAAAAUUUUUUUUAAUGUAAUAAAUAGUUGCUUAGAGGGAGUCAUUAUGUUGAUGUAAAGAGAUUGAUGAAAACAUCAUUUAGGGGCAAAGCUGAUUCUGAAUUAGAAUGCUUUUUCUCCUGACUUACCUUUAAAGCACAAAUACAAUAAAGAUCAGAUUUGACCUCAUUAAAAAAAAUCUGUAAUAUAAAAGGUAAGCAUAUAGAUUUAGGUAAAAUAUUUUCAAAACAUGUAUCAGUUGAUGGAUUAUAUAAAACAUGAGUAGCUUCUAUAUAUUGAUAAAAA